rnacentral:rRNA from 1 species
GAAUGGCGUAAUGAUGGCCAGGCUGUCUCCACCCGAGACUCAGUGAAAUUGAACUCGCUGUGAAGAUGCAGUGUACCCGCGGCAAGACGGAAAGACCCCGUGAACCUUUACUAUAGCUUGACACUGAACAUUGAGCCUUGAUGUGUAGGAUAGGUGGGAGGCUUUGAAGUGUGGACGCCAGUCUGCAUGGAGUCGACCUUGAAAUACCACCCUUUAAUGUUUGAUGUUCUAACGUGGACCCGUGAUCCGGGUUGCGGACAGUGUCUGGUGGGUAGUUUGACUGGGGCGGUCUCCUCCUAAAGAGUAACGGAGGAGCACGAAGGUUGGCUAAUCCUGGUCGGACAUCAGGAGGUUAGUGCAAUGGCAUAAGCCAGCUUGACUGCGAGCGUGACGGCGCGAGCAGGUGCGAAAGCAGGUCAUAGUGAUCCGGUGGUUCUGAAUGGAAGGGCCAUCGCUCAACGGAUAAAAGGUACUCCGGGGAUAACAGGCUGAUACCGCCCAAGAGUUCAUAUCGACGGCGGUGUUUGGCACCUCGAUGUCGGCUCAUCACAUCCUGGGGCUGAAGUAGGUCCCAAGGGUAUGGCUGUUCGCCAUUUAAAGUGGUACGCGAGCUGGGUUUAGAACGUCGUGAGACAGUUCGGUCCCUAUCUGCCGUGGGCGCUGGAGAACUGAGGGGGGCUGCUCCUAGUACGAGAGGACCGGAGUGGACGCAUCACUGGUGUUCGGGUUGUCAUGCCAAUGGCACUGCCCGGUAGCUAAAUGCGGAAGAGAUAAGUGCUGAAAGCAUCUAAGCACGAAACUUGCCCCGAGAUGAGUUCUCCCUGACCCUUUAAGGGUCCUGAAGGAACGUUGAAGACGACGACGUUGAUAGGCCGGGUGUGUAAGCGCAGCGAUGCGUUGAGCUAACCGGUACUAAUGAACCGUGAGG